UACGGAGGGAGCUAGCGUUGUUCGGAAUUACUGGGCGUAAAGCGCACGUAGGCGGCUUUUUAAGUCAGGGGUGAAAUCCCGGGGCUCAACCCCGGAACUGCCCUUGAAACUGGAGAGCUAGAAUCUUGGAGAGGCGAGUGGAAUUCCGAGUGUAGAGGUGAAAUUCGUAGAUAUUCGGAAGAACACCAGUGGCGAAGGUGACUCGCUGGACAAGUAUUGACGCUGAGGUGCGAAAGCGUGGGGAGCAAACAGG
rnacentral:rRNA from 1 species